rnacentral:lncRNA from 1 species
ACUGGCCUUGAGCCGGCUCACUGACUCUUCACUACCAGAGAAGAAGCAGUUGUAGAGACAGAUAACUCCUCCUGCCUUUGUGGUCUUUACAAGAGGCGUUAGACCAAAUAACAAUUAGCUCUAACUCUAAUUCAGACCUUUCCGAAGACAACCAAUACCUGUUACUCUUUCGUUGGUUUUUGCUUUUUGAGACAGGAGCUCAUCCAUUGCUCAGGUCUAGAACUCACUAUGUAGCUCAGACUGGUCUUGAACUUGCAGCAAUCCACCUACGUCUCCCCAGUGUUAGGAUUAUGGGUAUGAGCCACCAUGCCUGGCUUCUGCCUAUUAAUUUAAAAGGGACGGGGAAGAAAUUAGAAAACGUACUUUCUCUCAAUCAUAUAGAACAGUUGGAUGAGUUGUAUAUUUUUCUGAAUGACUCUCAUCAGAUGUGUUCUGUCAUUUCACAUCUAUUACCUGGUGUGUGUGUGUGUGUGUGUGUGUGUGUGUGUGUGUGUGUGCGCACACGCAUGUGCACGCACGCGUGCAAGUUUUUCCCACAACAACCAACUUCCCAACACUAUCUGGGCAUCCUCUAAUCCAGUUUUACUAAUACCUGGAGCUAGAGUCGGCUUUCAUAGCUUGGUCCGUGUUACCAUAGGAACGGAAUUUUGAGCACUUGAUCCCCAGCACUAUUUGAAGGCUCUGGAGCCAUCAAAAGGUGGGGUCUGACUGGAAGGAGUGAGUCACCUACUAAGGGCCCCUUGGUGGUGGUGUUGGGGGUUCACCACUUUCUGCUUUCUGCCUGUGAUCCUGACUUGCGGAGCCCCAGCCUAGGAUGAAACCCCUCCCACCACCUGCAGCUCCUCCGGAAACCUGAGCCAAAACAACAAGCCUUUUCUUCUUAAGAUGCUUCUGGCCAGUAUUUGUCAGAAAGAGAAAAGUAACUCAGCCAAGCCGGCCUGCCCUUCACAAGUCCAGACGUCCCAUGCCUCUGACCAACUGUUGUAAGUUAAAGGCUCCUAGAAUUUCCUGCUCAACUUGAAUCAUUUGCUAGAAUGGCCCCAGAUCUUGAGGAAUGACCACCUGUAACCCAUCCCUCUGACCACUCCCCACACAGCUCGAAUGUGCAGCUGACUCCAACACGGCUUUUCUGCCCUCAACUUAGGCUCUUCUUGUAUUUCCUGUCCUAAUAUGGUGUUCAUUCAUUUGAACAUGUCAUAAUUACCUGCACUAAUAUAGAGUGAGCAGUUUCUGUGUGCUGGACACUGGUCUAAAUACAUACAAUGUAUCUACUCAUUUAAUAUUCACCAUAUUAAAUAUAGGUAGAUAUUCUCACUGUGCCCAUCUUGCAGGCCAUAAAACUGAGGUUUGAGAUUCUUACCAUUAAGAAGCAAUAAGAUAAGAUG